AACGAACGCUGGCGGCGUGCCUAACACAUGCAAGUCGAACGCGAAAAGCAGUAAUGCUGAGUAGAGUGGCGCACGGGUGAGUAACACGUAAAUGACAUGUCCUCGAGACGGGAAUAACCAGCCGAAAGGCUGGCUAAUACCCGGUAAGCCCACGUCUUUGGAGAUGAGGGAAAAGGGUCGGGAAUUUUCGAAUCCGAUCGCUUGAGGAGUGGUUUGCGGCCCAUCAGGUAGUUGGCGAGGUAAAAGCUCACCAAGCCUAAGACGGGUAGCUGGUCUGAGAGGAUGAUCAGCCACACUGGAACUGAGACACGGUCCAGACUCCUACGGAGGCAGCAGUGGGGAAUCUUGCGCAAUGGGAGCAAUCCUGACGCAGCAACGCCGCGUGGGUGAUGAAGGUCUUCGGAUCGUAAAGCCCUGUCGGAGGGGAAGAUGCUUGGAACGUCUAAUAGAUGAGCCAGGUGACGGGUACCCUCAAAGGAAGCACCGGCU
rnacentral:rRNA from 1 species